CCCUUAGAUGUCCUGGGCCGCACGCGCGUUACACUGAUGCAUUCAACGAGUUUAUAACCUUGGCCGAGAGGCCUGGGCAAUCUUGUUAACGUGCAUCGUGGUAGGGAUAGAUUAUUGAAAUUAUUAAUCUUGAACGAGGAAUUCCUAGUAAACGCAGAUCAUCAAUCUGCAUUGAUUACGUCCCUGCCCUUUGUACACACCGCCCGUCGCACCUACCGAUUGGAUGGUCCGGUGAAGCCUCGGGAUUGUGGUUCUUGCCGCUUUAUUGUGGCGUGACCGCGAGAACUUGUCUAAACCUUAUCAUCUAGAGGAAGGUGAAGUCGUAACA
rnacentral:rRNA from 1 species